CAGCCGCGGUAAUACGGAGGAUCCAAGCGUUAUCCGGAUUUAUUGGGUUUAAAGGGUGCGUAGGCGGCCUGUUAAGUCAGGGGUGAAAGACGGUAGCUCAACUAUCGCAGUGCCCUUGAUACUGAUGGGCUUGAAUGGACUAGAGGUAGGCGGAAUGAGACAAGUAGCGGUGAAAUGCAUAGAUAUGUCUCAGAACACCGAUUGCGAAGGCAGCUUACUAUGGUCUUAUUGACGCUGAGGCACGAAAGCGUGGGGAUCAAACAGGAUUAGAUACCCUGGUAGUCCACGCCCUAAACGAUGAACACUCGCUGUUGGCGAUACACAGUCAGCGGCUAAGCGAAAGCGUUAAGUGUUCCACCUGGGGAGUACGGUCGCAAGAUUGAAACUCAAAGGAAUUGACGGGGGCCCGCACAAGCGGAGGAGCAUGUGGUUUAAUUCGAUGAUACGCGAGGAACCUUACCCGGGCUUGAAAGUUAGUGAAUGAUUUAGAGAUAGAUCAGUCCGCAAGGACACGAAACUAGGUGCUGCAUGGCUGUCGUCAGCUCGUGCCGUGAGGUGUUGGGUUAAGUCCCGCAACGAGCGCAACCCCUAUGUUUAGUUGCCAGCACGUAAAGGUGGGGACUCUAAACAGACUGCCUGUGCAAACAGAGAGGAAGGAGGGGACGACGUCAAGUCAUCAUGGCCCUUACGUCCGGGGCUACACACGUGCUACAAUGGAUGGUACAGAGGGCAGCUACAUAGCAAUAUGAUGCGAAUCUCACAAAGCCAUUCACAGUUCGGAUUGGGGUCUGCAACUCGACCCCAUGAAGUUGGAUUCGCUAGUAAUCGCGUAUCAGCAAUGACGCGGUGAAUACGUUCCCGGGCCUUGUACACACCGCCCGUCAAGCCAUGGAAGUUGGGGGUACCUAAAGUAUGUAACCGCAAGGAGCGUCCUAGGUA
rnacentral:rRNA from 1 species